rnacentral:rRNA from 1 species
UUUGAAAUUUAUAUUUUAGUAAAAAAGCUAAAAUUAUCUAUAGGGACGAGAAGACCCUAUCAAGUUUUACAAUCCAGAAUUUAUUUUCAAAUUAAAUUUUAAAUUGUUUUGCUGGGGCAGCAGAUAAAAAUUUUUUAUUUUAAAAUUAUGAUAAAUAAAUCUUGAAAAAUCAAAAAAUUUUUAAUUAAAAAUAAAUUACUGUAGGGAUAACAGCAUAAUUUUUUUAGAGAGUUCUUAUCAUCAAAAAAGUUUGUGACCUCGAUGUUGGAUUAAAAUUCCUAAUUCGUGCAAUAAUGAAAUAA